UUGACAGAAGAGAGAGAGCACAACCCGGGAUCAGCUAAAGAGAGACUUUGGUUAUGUUGGGAGUGUGCUUUCUCUUCUUCUGUCAC
rnacentral:pre_miRNA from 1 species